AUGAACGCUGGCGGCGUGCCUAAUACAUGCAAGUCGAGCGAACGGACGAGAAGCUUGCUUCUCUGAUGUUAGCGGCGGACGGGUGAGUAACACGUGGAUAACCUACCUAUAAGACUGGGAUAACUUCGGGAAACCGGAGCUAAUACCGGAUAAUAUUUUGAACCGCAUGGUUCAAAAGUGAAAGACGGUCUUGCUGUCACUUAUAGAUGGAUCCGCGCUGCAUUAGCUAGUUGGUAAGGUAACGGCUUACCAAGGCGACGAUGCAUAGCCGACCUGAGAGGGUGAUCGGCCACACUGGAACUGAGACACGGUCCAGACUCCUACGGGAGGCAGCAGUAGGGAAUCUUCCGCAAUGGGCGAAAGCCUGACGGAGCAACGCCGCGUGAGUGAUGAAGGUCUUCGGAUCGUAAAACUCUGUUAUUAGGGAAGAACAUAUGUGUAAGUAACUGUGCACAUCUUGACGGUACCUAAUCAGAAAGCCACGGCUAACUACGUG
rnacentral:rRNA from 1 species